AGCGAACGCUGGCGGCAGGCCUAACACAUGCAAGUCGAACGAAGCCUUCGGGCUUAGUGGCGGACGGGUGAGUAACACGUGGGAACGUACCUUUUGGUUCGGAACAACUCAGGGAAACUUGAGCUAAUACCGGAUGAGCCCUUAGGGGGAAAGAUUUAUCGCCGAAAGAGCGGCCCGCGUUAGAUUAGCUAGUUGGUGAGGUAAAGGCUCACCAAGGCAACGAUCUAUAGCUGGUCUGAGAGGAUGAUCAGCCACACUGGGACUGAGACACGGCCCAGACUCCUACGGGAGGCAGCAGUGGGGAAUCUUGCGCAAUGGGCGAAAGCCUGACGCAGCCAUGCCGCGUGAAUGAUGAAGGUCUUAGGAUUGUAAAAUUCUUUUACCAGGGACGAUAAUGACGGUACCUGGAGAAAAAGCCCCGGCCAACUUCGUGCCAGCCGCCGCCGUAAUAC
rnacentral:rRNA from 1 species